UACGGGGGGAGCAAGCGUUGUUCGGAUUUACUGGGCGUAAAGGGCGCGUAGGCGGCCUUCUAAGUCAGACGUGAAAUCCCCCGGCUUAACCUGGGAACUGCGUCUGAUACUGGGAGGCUAGAGUAUGGGAGAGGGAUGUAGAAUUCCAGGUGUAGUGGUGAAAUGCGUAGAGAUCCGGAGGAACCCCAGAGGCGAAGGCGGCAUCCUGGCCCAUUACCGACACUCAGACACGACAGCAUGGGGAGCGAACGGG
rnacentral:rRNA from 1 species